rnacentral:rRNA from 1 species
CCUACGGGUGGCAGCAGUGGGGAAUAUUGCACAAUGGGGGGAACCCUGAUGCAGCGACGCCGCGUGAGUGAAGAAGUAUUUCGGUAUGUAAAGCUCUAUCAGCAGGGAAGAAAAUGACGGUACCUGACUAAGAAGCCCCGGCUAACUACGUGCCAGCAGCCGCGGUAAUACGUAGGGGGCAAGCGUUAUCCGGAUUUACUGGGUGUAAAGGGAGCGCAGACGGCUGUGCAAGUCUGGAGUGAAAGGCGGGGGCGCAACCCCCGGACUGCUCUGGAAACUGUAAAGCUGGAGUGCAGGAGAGGUAAGCGGAAUUCCUAGUGUAGCGGUGAAAUGCGUAGAUAUUAGGAGGAACACCAGUGGCGAAGGCGGCUUACUGGACUGCAACUGACGUUGAGGCUCGAAAGCGUGGGGAGCAAACAGGAUUAGAUACCCCUGUAGUC